UACGUAGGGUGCAAGCGUUGUCCGGAAUUAUUGGGCGUAAAGAGCUUGUAGGCGGUUUGUCGCGUCUGCUGUGAAAUUUCGGGGCUCAACCCCGAACUUGCAGUGGGUACGGGCAGACUAGAGUGUGGUAGGGGAGACUGGAAUUCCUGGUGUAGCGGUGAAAUGCGCAGGAUAUCAGGAGGAACACCGAUGGCGAAGGCAGGUCUCUGGGCCAUAACUGACGCUGAGACGCGAAAGCGUGGGGAGCGAACAGG
rnacentral:rRNA from 1 species